GAACGCUGGCGGCGUGCCUAAUACAAGCAAGGCGAGCGAACAGACGAGGAGCUUGCUCCUCUGACGUUAGCGGCGGACGGGUGAGUAACACGUGGAUAACCUACCUAUAAGACUGGGAUAACUUCGGGAAACCGGAGCUAAUAACGGACAAUAUAUUGAACCGCAUGGUUCAAUAGUGAAAGACGGGUUUGCUGUCACUUAUAGAUGGAUCCGCGCCGCAUUAGCUAGUUGGUAAGGUAACGGCUUACCAAGGCGACGAUGCGUAGCCGACCUGAGAGGGUGAUCGGCCACACUGGAACUGAGACACGGUCCAGACUCCUACGGGAGGCAGCAGUAGGGAAUCUUCCGCAAUGGGCGAAAGCCUGACGGAGCAACGCCGCGUGAGUGAUGAAGGUCUUCGGAUCGUAAAACUCUGUUAUUAGGGAAGAACAAAUGUGUAAGUAACUAUGCACGUCUUGACGGUACCUAAUCAGAAAGCCACGGCUAACUACGUG
rnacentral:rRNA from 1 species